rnacentral:tRNA from 1 species
UCCCCGGUCGUCCAAUCGGCAAGACGCCUGACUCUGGAUCAGGAGAUUGAGGUUCGAACCCUUGCUGGGGAGC